rnacentral:misc_RNA from 1 species
GGUCAUUGCAAUACAAGAAUAUCUCUCCCCAAUUUCUUGGCAAAGGGACACAAAAAAGGAUAAUUUUCUCCGCCUUGAUUAAAAUUUGAAGACUACUAUAUAAAUAAUGCUCAAGUAAAAUCCAGAAAUUUUAUCCAAAUUCAAACUUCAACAACCAAAAUAUGAAUCCACCUUUCCGCCACCUAAUCAAACUGACAAAAAAAAAAAAGGAACAGAAACAAUUUCCAUGCCUCGCUUUUCUGGCUAUGAAAAGGUUGAAAGCAAUCAGGCAUAAUAAAAGACUAAAGUUGCAGAUCUUAUGCAGCCAUCUUAUUUCUGUUUUUUUUCAUACUUGUACAUACAUAUAUGUUGAGCCAUCAUUCGAGUACAGAUUGUAAUCAGGCAGUAUUAUCCUUCUAAUUUAUCAUAUAGAUACCCCAUAGCAUUACAGUCCCUACAGGUAGAUCCACUAUCGACUAAAUCGAGUUGCUUUCGCUUCAGCAUCCAAAGUCGUAAGGCACUAGUCCCUUCAGCUCUGGUCCAUUAAGCCUGUUGUGCUCGAAACUGAAACAAUGCCAGGAAGCAAACGAUUUGAGCGAAAAUUCUCAAAAUAUAAUAAGCCAUAUGUUUGCAAGCCUAAAGAAUGAAGAAGAGGUAUCGUCCCAUAUUCUUCCUGUUUCAUGAAGGUUUUUCUCAAUGCAUUCAUUAGUGCUUAACAGGGAAAUUACACAAAAAAUCAUAGGUUUCAUGUUUACAAUACUUCAUUCACAUCACUGAUAAAUUGUGCUGCAGAAUAUUGUAUUACUUAGGACUUGUAGGUCAAUAGCAAUUCACUUUCUGUUGCACCUAAAUCUAAAUGCGAGCAACAAAGGCUGAUCAAGUGAAGAUAGCUGAAUCAAAAGGCCAGAAUGAAUCAACAAUCAGGGAAGCAGACAUUAAAAAAACUUCUACUGCCCAGUUGCAGGGUUGUCUAUUGCAGCCACUCAGACUAAUUAUAUAAUCCCAUAAGGCCAACCUUCCGCAUUCCACUCACAAGUUGAGCAUCUAUUCAAGCAUAGCUAUAUAGCACUCGGUUCUGAAGUUCACCAGGUUAAGCACUUAAGACAAAUUUCACAAUGUACUUAUUUCACAGGAACAGUUAUUAAUGAAGUAUUCCAGUUCCAGUUUAAGCAAAAUUCUUCAAAUUGAUGCUUGAUACUAAAUACUAAGAACACACAACUAGCAACUUCCACUUCUGCUAAGAAUUUGCAAAACCAGAAUUGGGGAUAGAUGAUACCUUUCCAUGGGAAAAGUAGCAAAGGGACCAUCUACUGGAAUUGUUCCACAGAGAUCAUUAUUAGAAACAUCAAAAACUUUGAGGUCUUUGAGCUUGGCGAGCUCCCUUGGAAUAGAUCCAGUUAGUUUGUUGUUGUUUAGCCGUAGGAAUCUGAGUGAUUUCAACUUUGCCAAGGACUUGGGUAUUUCACCUUCAAAUUUAUUGUCAUACAAAUCCAUGCUCACAAGAUUUUUCAACUUACCCAACUCUUUAGGAAUUUUCCCACCUAUGUUAUUCCUAUAAAGCUCCAAGUACUGUAGAUGCUGGAGCUGUGCAAGCUCUGGUCCUAAAGACCCAGAAAUGUUAGAAUUCCCCAAGUCCAAGCGAACCACAUGAUUGUUGGAAUCACAGGUGACAUGGAACCAGGUACAAGGAUUGACCAGAGUUGGGUCCCAGCUCUGCAACACAUUGGUUGGAUCAGAGAACCUGCUUCUCAAAGCAUGCAAAGCAUUCCCUUCAGAAUUGGUGCAGAGAGAAGGGGAGAAGAAGGAGAAGAAGAGGAAGGCAGUCAUCUGAAAUUUUGUUGACUUUUGAAACCGAAAUUAAUCGGAGAUGGCAGGUCCCGUGGCGGUACAGGUGCCCAACUCUCCGAUAUUUUCAUCGCCGAGAAUCCCUUCCAUCUUUUGCAAGCCAUGUCCGUCGCCUAAAAUCCAUGGCUCACAAUCACCUACGUCGUUAUCAUUACCAUCAUCUUCGUCUUCCCCUUCUGCGUUUCCAACAUCGCCUUUGGCGAUUCGGGUAAAUGAGAAAAGGUUGGAAGCGAAUUCAGGUACGGUGUUGAAGAGGAAGAGGCCGGGGAGGAUUGCUAUUCCGGUGGUGACUGAUGGAUUUUGUGGAUUUGGUUUAGAGACGCCGAGAAGAGAGGAGGAAAGGGUGGAGGUAAUUGAGGCUGAAGGAGAUGGGUAUUCGGUUUAUUGUAAACGAGGAAGGAGAGGGCUCAUGGAGGAUCGAUACUCUGCUUUUGUUGAUGUCAAUGGAGAUUCUAAACAGGCUUUCUUUGGUGUUUUUGAUGGGCAUGGAGGCUCAAAAGCUGCGGAAUUCGCCUCCAAGAAUUUGGAGAAGAACAUAAUGGCAGCUGUAGCAAGCAGAUGCGAGGAGAAAAUGGGAAUAGAAAUGGCAAUUAGAAAUGGCUACUUGACUACAGACACAGAAUUUCUAAAGCAAAGCGUUGGUGGUGGUGCUUGUUGUGUCACCGCAAUGAUUCACAAGGGCGACCUUGUGGUUUCCAAUGCCGGUGACUGCCGGGCUGUUAUGAGUCGCGGAGGAGUCGCUGAGGCUCUCUCCUCUGAUCACCAUCCUUCCAGGGAAGACGAAAGAGACAGAAUUGAAGCCUUGGGUGGUUAUGUGGAUUGUUGCCAUGGUGUUUGGAGAAUACAAGGGUCUCUUGCUGUAACUAGAGGAAUUGGAGAUCGACAUCUGAAACAAUGGGUGAUAUCAGAACCCGAAACUAAAGUUUUAAAGAUUAAGCCUGAGUGCGAGUUCUUGAUCUUAGCCUCUGAUGGCCUCUGGGACAAGGUUGCAAAUCAGGAGGCAGUAGAUCUUGUUCGCCCUUUAUGCAUAGGUGUUGACAAGUCGGAACUGUUCUCUGCUUGUAAAAAGCUGAGUGAAUUGUCAUCAAGGAGGGGCUCAAUUGAUGAUAUAAGUGUGAUGAUAAUCCAGUUAGGUAGUUUCAGUGUCUGAUUUUUACUUCUAGUAGAGAAGAAGUUUUGAUGGAGAUGGAUGAUUUUCGAGUCUCCUGCAAGUGUUAUUUUUUUCUUUCUAAAGAAACUUGACAGCUACAGAAGUGUGCAUGUCAGGCAGCUGAUUUGAAAUUUUACCCUGUCAUCUGGUUGGAUGUUGGCGGCGGAGGUGUUGGUUGUAGCUGGUGAUGAUAGGGGAGGAGGAAAGAUGAUAUUCCUUCUGUUUCAAUUGAAUCUGAUGUAUAUAGGAUUAUAGACUAAAAAUGGAAGCUUAUCGGACUAGAAAUAUAUAAUAUAUACAUUUUAUAUACAGAAAAUUUUCAUUUUUCUGUGUUGAUUGUUCCAUUUGAGUACCAUAUUUGGUUUGUAGAGCUAUUCCUGCAUAUCUGUGUGAUCCUUUCACAGGCCUAGU